AGAGUUUGAUCAUGGCUCAGGACGAACGCUGGCGGCGUGCUUAACACAUGCAAGUCGAGCGGAAAGGCCCUUCGGGGUACUCGAGCGGCGAACGGGUGAGUAACACGUGAGCAACCUGCCCCUGGCUCUGGGAUAGCUCCGGGAAACCGGGAUUAAUACCGGAUGUGACCCGCGGAUGCAUGUCCGAGGGUGGAAAGUUU
rnacentral:rRNA from 1 species